rnacentral:rRNA from 1 species
UACAGGGGGUGCAAACGUUGCUCGGAAUCAUUGGGCGUAAAGCGCACGUAGGCGGUCUGUUAUGUCGGAUGUGAAAGCCCUUGGCUCAACUGAGGAAGUGCAUCCGAAACUGGCAGGCUAGAGUACUAAAGAGGAUCGCGGAAUUCCCGGUGUAGAGGUGAAAUGCGUAGAUAUCGUAAGGAAGACCAGUGGCGAAGGCGGGUCUCUGGACAGUUCCUGACGCUGAGGCACGAAGGUCAGGGGAGCAAACGGG